GUCAAAAAAGAUAUAGAGCGACGGAGGGUGGAGACUGGGUGCGAGUGAAAGCGAGAAAAGGAAUGAGAUUAGGAGAGAAAAAUUUAAAACGAAAAAAAAAAAUAUCACCUCACCACACACUGUCGAAAUCCCCAAGGGCCGGUCCUUGUUGAGAUUCGAACCGGUGUUGAACCUGAAAUCUCCUUUUUCCUGGAUGUCCUGUCCUGUGCCUCUCCUCAGCGAGGUGCCGUAGAAGUCGGUGGCCGUAUCACAGACCGGACUUCGGCGAGCAGACGGGCGACAUGGGGAGGCUGGCAUGGAAGCUCCACCCUUCCAACAAUGCUCUAGUCCUCGGCAGGCCUUUGUGCACAGAACCCUGCAUUGUUUUCCCCUCGCGGCAAAGCCAGCUGGCACGGAGAUGGCAGUGCCAUUGACAAGGUUCACAAUACCCCCUCCAGUAAGAGCCACAAUGAAGGGACGUGGACACAGCCACCUCUAUGGCACACAGUCGCGGAGCGAGCGAGGAGAACACAGGGACUCACAGGCAGCUGCUGCCAACAUCUCCACAGCCCCUAUAGCGUCUGCAGCUUUCAGCGCUGACAAGAGGCUGGCAAGGGGGGCUCUUCUUUUUAAUCCACAUUGUUCAGGGGGCUCUAGAGAGGAAGAGUGUUGGUGUGCUUGUGUGCUAUUUUUAUAGAGGCUGACUGAAGAGAUGGAAAGCUCUCUCACACACACACACACACAUGCACACACACAAGCUCAAGGAUUCACACACUCCCCAUACUCCCUGUCUCUAGCGAAGUAGUUCUACUGCUUACCUGGGUUUAUUGCACCAAGCCGUCGCCUCUUGUCACGUCUUAUCAAGUGGAGGAAAAUGACAGUUCUGCAUUUGUCAAGGCCAAGCAGCGGGGGUCUACACCACACUGCAUACAGCAAGCUGCCGGAAAACAAGGCCCCGGCUUUAGCCUCCGCGGCUAGAACAACAGACACCCAUCCAUCCGCAACACAGCCGGGGGAAAGGGACCAGAGGGCCGACAUGAGGGGGAAGUGUCUGUGUGCGCUGAGCAGGAGGAAUUGUCACUAAGAUGUGGUUGAGGAUCCUGCUGGAGGUUCUUUGGUCAAGCGGUAAGUGAUUCAAUACUGGUGUUCGAGCCAGGACUCCAGAAGAUACUGUAGCUGGACUGUCAGCUGUAAACAUGUCAUUAUUUCUUCGCUCCCCUUGCUCUUGAGAGAAGGGAAACUUUCCAUUACCCUGGCCCGGUGUCGUCUCAGCAGGCCUGGAGUUUGUCCCGCUCCCGCUAAUGGACUCUGGCUCCUCCUGGAGCGAGGGCAGGGAGUGGGGAGCUGGGCCGGAGCGGAGGAAUAAGAACCCAGGAGCCUUUGGGGCCCCGUGUGUGUGACCUCUAACCUAAGCUAGCAUCAGGAAGUGGCAAGCGGUGAGGGGAAGUGGGAGCACCUGUGCAGAGAUGUCUGUUGUCACUGGUUGACGGAGGAAGAGACGAGACACCGUGAGAAGACUGCUGGCUGCCGAGAGUCACCCUCUCUUCCCUGCAAGGCGCAACAGGCAAGGUUGAGGUCACUACUGGACGCCUUGUCUGUUUUUUCUCAUCCAGCAAUCUGGUCCACACAGAAUUACUUUCAUGACUCUCAAUUCCUAAACAACAGUAGCAGAAGUGUCUGAUACAGGUUAAAAGGAUAUAGCCUUUUUUUUUUUUUUUUUAAUUUAAAUUCAAUUCAACAACUUUUAUGCGUUGGCGUCUUGUUUAGCCAAUUUCAAAGUCUAAAUGUGUUUAAUUGUUUUAGGACUAAAUUCCUUUUAAGGUUAUUUACUCAAACACAUAUUUUGAGGCAACUCAAAAUGUAGUUAUUAAAGUGAGUGAAUUCUGUUUGGCCUCUGAAAGGACAAUGCAUAAUUGGCUAUGCUAUUACUGUAAUGUUUUGUUUAAUUAUUUUUGCUGUAAUGCUGAGCAUUGUUGUGGUCAAGGACAGUGAUAGAUAGCCUGGCUACAGCCUGAAGGGAAGG